rnacentral:rRNA from 1 species
GACGAACGCUGGCGGCGUGCCUAAUACAUGCAAGUCGAACGCACUCUCGUUUAGAUUGAAGGAGCUUGCUCCUGAUUGAUAAACAUUUGAGUGAGUGGCGGACGGGUGAGUAACACGUGGGUAACCUGCCCUAAAGUGGGGGAUAACAUUUGGAAACAGAUGCUAAUACCGCAUAAAACCUAACACCGCAUGGUGUAGGGUUGAAAGAUGGUUUCGGCUAUCACUUUAGGAUGGACCCGCGGUGCAUUAGUUAGUUGGUGAGGUAAAGGCUCACCAAGACCGUGAUGCAUAGCCGACCUGAGAGGGUAAUCGGCCACACUGGGACUGAGACACGGCCCAGACUCCUACGGGAGGCAGCAGUAGGGAAUCUUCCACAACGGACGAAAGUCUGAUGGAGCAACGCCGCGUGAGUGAAGAAGGUUUCGGAUCGGAAAACUCUGUUGUUGGAGAAGAAUGUAUCUGAUAGUAACUGAUCAGGUAGUGACGGUAUCCAACCAGAAAG